rnacentral:rRNA from 1 species
UACGUAGGUGGCAAGCGUUGUCCGGAAUUAUUGGGCGUAAAGCGCGCGUAGGCGGGUUUUUAAGUCAGGGGUGAAAUCCCAAGGCUCAACCUUGGAACUGCCUUUGAUACUGGAAAUCUUGAGUCCGGGAGAGGUGAGUGGAACUGCGAGUGUAGAGGUGAAAUUCGUAGAUAUUCGCAAGAACACCAGUGGCGAAGGCGGCUCACUGGCCCGGUACUGACGCUGUGGCGCGAAAGCUAGGGGAGCGAACGGG